rnacentral:sRNA from 1 species
GCUGGGCUCAGUGGUGCAUGCCUGUAAUCCUAGAGAUUCAGGAGGCUGAAGCAGGAGGAUCACAAGUUGCAGGCCAGCCUCAGCAACUUAGUGAGACCCUGUCUCUA